rnacentral:rRNA from 1 species
CCUACGGGAGGCAGCAGUGAGGAAUAUUGGUCAAUGGACGAGAGCCUGAACCAGCCACGCAGCGUGAACGAUGACUGCCCUCUGGGUUGUAAACUUUUUUUAUAUGGGAAUAAAAUGUUCCAUGCGUGGGAUUUCGUAUGUACCAUAUGAAUAAGGAUCGGCUAACUCCGUGCCAGCAGCCGCGGGAAUACGGAGGUUUCGAGCGUUAGCCGGAUUUACUGGGGUUAAAGGGAGCGUAGGUGGAUUGUUAAGUCAGUUGUGAAAGUUUGCGGCUCAACCGUAACAUUGCAGUUGAAACUGGCAGGCUGGAGUACAGUAGAGGUAGGCGGAAUUCGUGGUGUAGCGGUGAAAUGCGUAGAUAUCACGAAGAACUCCGAUUGCGAAGGCAGCUCACUGGACUGCAACUGACGCUGAGGCUCGAAAGUGUGGGUAUCAAACAGGAUUAGAUACCCCGGUAGUC